UUUCCGUGUUAGUUUUCUACCUGAUAAAAAUUUGUUAUAACAUGUAUUUUAAAAGUUUUUGGUCUUGCCCAGACCUUUCAUUCGGUAUACCGAAAAAGGGGCUGGCCCUUAUAAUUAGGGAGUUAGAGGCGUCCAAAGUUUCUUGUCAAUAACUUAAAAAGGAAUAAAUAUUUCUAAUGCAUUAUUGAAGCAAAGUUGUAAAGAAAUUAAUUUUGAAUCCUUCUAUAGUAUUCAAUUUAAUGUUUUCGUAAUUUAUAGUCAGUAUUUGCAGAAACAAUUGUUGUCAGUUCGGUCCAUUUUUGUGGGGGUGCGCACGUUUAUGAGGUUAUGAAAGGGCUUCUUGUAAUGCACUAACUGAUACAUGUAGCGCGCAAAAAUAAUUCCACAUAAAAUUCCCAAAUGUUUUUAUACAUAUGUACAUUUUCAUUUCAUAUAGAUAAACCUCUUUGACCUUAUUUUUGUUGUUUGUUUCAUAACUGUGCCCCUGUCUAUAUUUAGAUGCAUUACGAGACUCAGGUAACCGAUCGAUAGGAGAGUCGCUAGCUGUAUUCAGGCCGUCGCCUAGACGACAGUGCAUGUGCUUGUAAAGCUGGACGUACACGAUUAACGCCCCACUGUGUUACUGUAACAGAGACAUUUUGAAUUGUUUCAGUACUGGGAGAUGUGUUAAUAAAAUGGUUCCAAUGCAUGAAAUUGAUGCCUCUGCCACAAAUGCCACCACUGCUGAAGAUUGGUGUAAUAUUGAUGAAGACUCUGUAGGCAUAUCUAAGAAAAAAGAGCUUAAUUAGUAAAUGACCGUACUAUGCUCACAUAGGAGAACCAAACACAAAAAGACCACCCUCCAAAAAAGACGACAACAAGAACCAUCGUGGAUAGUUGAAAUAUACAGCAGAAUUAAAGACCAUGCACGCAGAGCGGAUGGAGUUAGAUAGAGAGAAACUUAAACUAGAGGAAAGGAGGGUUGAUGUGUAGGAAAACUAUUAAAAGACAAU